CUCUGGUCAGCUCAACGUUUUCACACCUUCUCCUCUGAGGCUGAUCACUAACAGGACACAUUUCAGGCUGUUCAGUGUAGGAUGUUCAGGUAGAAAAGCUGCUGACUGGAUCAACAGAGGCUGAACACUGAGGAGACAUGGAAGCUGUGGUUGGACUGUUGCUGAUGCUACUCGGAGUCUCUCAUGGUGUGGAAACCUACUGUGAUGGCCGACAGGAUGGAGCUCAGUGUUAUGGAGCUUUGGGAGGAACUGUGGUCCUCCAGCUGAUGGACAAUACCUCAGGAAUAUCUAGAUACCAAUGGUCAAUCAAAACAACAAUCAAUGCAAAUACAACAACAAUAACAACAAUACUCAGCGGGAGCAAUAAUCCUUUUGUGUUUAAUGCGAUAGAAAACAGAUCCUUCUUUACUCCCAGUAAUGGAACAUUUAGGAUCAACAACCUGAGCUGGACUGAUGGAGGUGAAUAUAAACUUGAAAUCUUUGGUUCAGAUGGAUUGGUAUCAGAGCAGCGGACUCUACAGUUGACCAUUCAAGCUCCUGUGUCCUCUGUCCUGCUGGUCUCUGAGUGUCUGUCCCAGGGAGAGAUGAGGGUGUCCUGCUCCUCUAAGGGAGGGGACAGUCCUCAGUACAGCUGGACUCUGGAUGGACGCACACUGACAGACGCUGAGCUCCUCUCUGGAAAUACUGAGACUGACAGCAUCACUCUGAAACAAAACGUCUCAGGACGACUGGUCUGCUCAGUCAGGAAUCAAGUCAGUAAUGUCUCAGAAGAAAAGACAUUAUCUACAUGUGGCUUCAUAUUCAUUAAUUGCACCUUAAAAGACGGGACGAACAUAUCACAGUGGGUGUUUCCAGCCAAUAAUACCCUGUGUGUUCCACCAACAACAGCUCCUACCACGAGUACAUACACCUCCACCGUGGGGUACUUGCCGAUAAUGGCCGGUGUACUGUCUGCGUUGGUAAUUCUGUUAGUGGUCGGGGUGGCUGUCGUCUGUGCUCAGAAGAAAAAGCAAAACAACAAACCUAAAGAAGAAGAAGACCAUGAACUAACCUAUGCUGAUGUCAGGUUUGCGCAGCGGCCAGGGAGGCAGGUGCAGCAAAGGGCAAAGACGGAGGUGGAGGUGGAGUACGGCCAGGUCAAGUUUUCAGAGCGACCUCAGCAGACUGUUGAACCAGCAGGAGAUGAAUGUGUGUACGCCAAGGUCCGUAGAGACAGGUGAUUCACGGCGUUUAGUGUUUUACAAAGACUGUACCACUGAAGACAGAGAGACGAGGUGUUUGUGAAGAUGCCCAAAGCUCUUUCACCUUCAUUUAAUGUGAUGUUCAAAAGGACAAAAUAUAGAUGAAUAUUAUUAUUUACCACUUUAUCUUCUGGGAUGAGCGAGCUUCAAAGUAUCAUCAUCAUCAUUUGAAUUACACUGUGACUACAUAGACUAGAAUAUAUCAUCAAAACACAUAUUUUUAAAGUAUUUCCAUAAUUGUUACACUCUCUCUUUGUAUUUACAUUAUGUUCUACUUCUCUGUUUUUACUCGUUUUUAAUUUAUGAGCAUAUUUACUUUUAUUUCAUUGUUAAAACACUGUACAUUUGCCAAAGGCUAACAUUUUAAGAAUAAUGUUAAUGUAACAAUGUAUUUGGUUUUAUUACUCCACAAUGAUUGGCAGACGUGGACACUCUAAAGCACUCUGACAAGCUGUCAUCUGUACGUUUAUGUUCUGUGUUUUAACUUCAUAUCAAAGGGAUAAAGUAGGUCUUUUCUUAGAUUAAUAUAUAUUUAUUAAACAGAUAUGGAUGGAUUAGUUGAGGGUCAGAGUUUCUCAAAUACAAUAGUAUGCUCCUGUGUUGGUAGUGUAGAGAUUUCUUAAAGGUUCUAUGUGGUGUGGAAGUUAAUCUCACAUCGACAGUAAGAUAAGUUUGUAGAGAAAUGUCUUGUGUCUCAGGAAGUUCGCAGUAACAGUAACCACAUAUUUUUUUCCAUAACGUAAACACUUCUGCUUUUUCUUAGGCAUGUGCUUUCAUUCUUUCAAAAUUGGUUUAUCAGUUGCAAGGGGUGAUUUUAAGACCUUACAUCAACCCUGUGUCAGUUAAUGGUGAAAUAUCCCUGUAAUGUAAGAAUAAAUAUGAGUGGCUUGUGUACUUUUAUUCAUACUCUAAGAUAAAAGUUAGUGGGGGGGGGGAUUUGUCUAUUUUAGUAGAUCCAGACAUAGAUAAUAGUAAAUUAUAUCUCAGGAUUGCCUGCAACAGUAGGCUACAUGCAGGUUGCUUAGUGUUUCUUAAUACAGUGAGUUAGCAGUAAAAGGAGAACACCUUCUAAAUGAGGGUGUUUUAGGGAGAAAAUUAACUACGUGUCAGAUUAUCUUUUAGCACCAUCAGGUUUUUUCUAUAUUUAGUUUGACACGUUUCCUCUCUUAGUCGCUUCCAGUUUUAAAGCUUUCACAAGUGUAAUAUAGAUACCUGUAGUAAAACCUUAAACCUUGUGAUGAUUUAAUAAUUGUAAUAAUUCAGGGUUUGAGUAAUUUUAGGGCUCUGACUUUCAAGUCUGGAGAAGAAACCAUUCUACAUUGUGGAUAUCUAUGCUCCCUGUUUAUGGGUAAAUAGAAAGUCGGUUGAACACAGUGCUGACUUGUGAUGUUUCAUGAUCUAAUGUUAACCAGUUAGUCAACUAUCAAAAAGGUUUAUAAUUAAAAACCAAACAUGGCCAUUUGUCUGGAAUUAAAUUGAACUGCAUGCAACUGAGGACCUAAACAGACAAUAAUGCUAAAGAAAAUGUAAGUUCUUAGGUAUUGGCUCUGACCCUACUCUGACUUGGAAAUGAUCAGUGUAUUCUGACCACAGACAUCAUACAGUGCCCAUCAUAUUCCUGUAAGCUGCUCUAUUAAAUAAUCUAAAUAUCCCUGACACUUUGGUUUUCCUGCCUCUUCUCAAAGACCCAAUCUUUUCUAAGUUAACCAUUGUGCAGCUUACAUGCUCCAGCCCAUAGGAGGAAGUGCUCGACUGCACAAGACGUAAUAAUAAAUGGCGAGGGGAGAAACAAAUAGUUCAAUACUGGAAGGCAUCAGCUAGAAUAAGGUCUGUUGGAUUAAGUUAAUGUUUGUUUAAACCUUUGCUUUUCUGAGUUGACUUCAUAACUCUUAGACAUUGGAUAAUUUGCAAAGCAACUCAUAAUGGACAUUUUGGAGUAAUAACUUUUCAUAUUAUCAAAGCUGCUAUUGCAUGUGCUACAGUCUUUUGGUAUAGACUGGGUCAGGAAGUGUACGGUCAAACCUUUGAUCCUCAGGAAGAGCACCCUUCUUGUCUCAGCUCAGUAUCUCCCUCUGAAACUCUUCAAUGAUGUAUGUUGAAGUAGCCUGACACAGUUUAUUUUACUGUUGCUUGAGUUCUAUUUUUUUGUGUUUUGUAACUUCUGUUUCCUAAAAAAAAUCAUCAAUUGUCAUUAUAUGUAAGUUUUGGUUUUAUAGGUAAAGUGACAGCAUGUAAGUUGUUUAUUUGCUGUGUAUUUAAUCAAAGACAGAGGUUACAUGCUUGGUUUGGUUUGAUAUCUUGAGGUUAAAGAUCCACCAAUACCAUUCAGCUGAUGCACAGCUAUAAAUAUGUGUUUAUGGUUCAUGAUAGUUGUAAAACAAACAACCAUUUUGUUAGUUGAACCCUCUUGUUGAAACACAGUUGACCUUCUGACUGACAUAAUCUACUGAGCAAAUAAUUAACAACACAGGAGAAGUGUAAUAAAACUGCUCCAACAAUCCAGUAUCCUUUUUGCCAUUUCAGUCAGUCAAUACUACUUUGAUCAUUUUAAUAAUUGUAUAAGUAUUAAAUUGUUUAGUAUUGUUGCAGCUAAAAUGUGUAACAUGGGGAAUCAUGUGGCACCUUAGCUCUUGACAGGUAUUUUUUUUCCUUAUAAAAAGCAGGUGAUAUUGUCAUUGUCUGUGUCAUGUGAUGUUAUACUGCCAUGCCAAAUGUAUUUAUUUAUAAAACCAAGACUGGUGCCAAUUCUUCAAUCCUGGGCACGUCAGUUUUUGACUGAAUAUAUAAUUUGGGGUUACUUAUAAUUUAAUUUAAAGAAUGUGUCAGCAACUAUUUGUAAAUAAGUAAAUUUAAAGUAAAGUUUGAUUAUUCAG
ensembl:lncRNA